rnacentral:rRNA from 1 species
UACGUAGGGUGCAAGCGUUGUCCGGAAUUAUUGGGCGUAAAGAGCUCGUAGGCGGCUUGUCGCGUCGUCCGUGAAAACCUGCAGCUCAACUGCAGGCUUGCGGUCGAUACGGGCAGGCUAGAGUUCGGUAGGGGAGACUGGAAUUCCUGGUGUAGCGGUGAAAUGCGCAGAUAUCAGGAGGAACACCGGUGGCGAAGGCGGGACUCUGGGCCGAUACUGACGCUGAGGAGCGAAAGCGUGGGGAGCAAACAGG